rnacentral:lncRNA from 1 species
GUAGUAACGAGUUACAUAUACUUCGUUGUAUUUACUUGAGUAAUUUUUUCGGGGUAACUAAUACUUUUCGGAGUACAUUUAAAGAUGGGUACUUUAUACUCUUACUUGAGUAAAUUUUGGGGGAAAAUAAGUACUUUUACUUCGUUACUGUGGGCGACGCUCCUCUCGUUACUUUAUCUUUAUGCAAUAAAUGUUAUAAAUGCUUCAGUUUAUUCCAAACGCGCCGUCUACUUUUCUCUGGGCAACGAGCGAUGCCCGUUCGCGAAUGAUUCAUUCUUUUGAGUCAAUUCUGUUCAAAUGCUUGGUCAAACCAAUUGGCAAACGAGUGAAUUGGUUCAUGAAUCAGUUUGAAUGAUUCGUUCAGUUCCCUGCCUCACGCACUGAGCGUCUGAAGCGGUUCACUCAAGAGUUGUAACGUUUAAGAUCAGCAGCGUUGAAAACGUGGAUAUGGAACUGCACUGAAUUGAAAGCAAUUCUGCAAAGGCUAUUAUUUGCUUGCGAUGGAGAUCCUUAUUAGAUGAACACCGCGUGUGCUGUCUACUGUUUAUCAGCCUCUACUGGACCAGCACAAAGGGUGGUGGAAGAACCUCAUGCUGCUGAAACAGCAAAGAAGGCCAUGGAGCAGAGUCAGCCUGACCCCCAGCCUCAUCCCAUGCCCCUGCCCCUGCCCCAGCCCCAGCCUACUGCACCUGUGGAAGCAAGAGUUGCAACACAAUUUUCAAUGGUAAGAAUUACUAUUUAACUUUUUUAAUAAUACCACUUAAGAAUGUGCUCAAUUAAAAUUCAAGAAAGUUCAGAACGUAAGAUGAAGAAAAAAAGAAAAAGCAAGAAUGCUAUGAGAUGCUGGCUGAGACCUACUAAUUGUCACUCCUCUUACAGUGGGGGCACCUGUUGUCUGCUGAAUGGUCAGUUUGAAUAUCUCAAAUUUGGUUUAAGUCACAUGGUCAAGGAUAAAUGUAGAAUGUAACCUGUCUGCUUUCUCUCUUGAGACUAGACUCAUGUCCCUCAUGGCAUCUCUCUCAAUACUUCUCAUGUGUUAAAGCUACAUUAUCUUUCUUUCUAAAUCUCAGGUAACAUACCACAUAGACGCUGGCUAUUAUUAACUGUACACAUAUUAACAAUUAUUCCAUCAUGCAAAUACUUUGUAGUAAUUUCAGGAGUCAAUACUGCUAAUAAAUAUGGAUGACACUUCUAUUCAGAAAGAAAUGUUUUUAAAAACCUGCAUUUACUUAAAAUAGUAAUAUUAAUUAAUUCUUCGUAAUUCUUGCUAUUAUAACACAUUCUGUCUUCUCACAUUUUUGAUUUACCAAACCAAGAUUUACUGGCUCUCACAUUGCUGCAGCAAAGCCAAAUCUUAGUGUGGUCAGGAGACCUUCUCAGGUUGAAGACCAACCCAGCGCAGCAGUGUCUUGUGCCUCUAUACCAAGCAGUACUGUCUCUGUAAGUAAUGG